rnacentral:rRNA from 1 species
GAUGAACGCUGGCGGCGUGCCUAAUACAUGCAAGUCGAGCGAACGGACGAGAAGCUUGCUUCUCUGAUGUUAGCGGCGGACGGGUGAGUAACACGUGGAUAACCUACCUAUAAGACUGGGAUAACUUCGAGAAACCGGAGCUAAUACCGGAUAAUAUUUUGAACCGCAUGGUUCAAAAGUGAAAGACGGUCUUGCUGUCACUUAUAGAUGGAUCCGCGCUGCAUUAGCUAGUUGGUAAGGUAACGGCUUACCAAGGCAACGAUGCAUAGCCGACCUGAGAGGGUGAUCGGCCACACUGGAACUGAGACACGGUCCAGACUCCUACGGGGGGCAGCAGUAGGGAAUCUUCCGCAAUGGGCGAAAGCCUGACGGAGCAACGCCGCGUGAGUGAUGAAGGUCUUCGGAUCGUAAAACUCUGUUAUUAGGGAAGAACAUAUGUGUAAGUAACUGUGCACAUCUUGACGGUACCUAAUCAGAAAGCCACGGCUAACUACGUG